rnacentral:lncRNA from 1 species
GAAUUCAAACAAUGGUUGCUUUUACCUCUUCGAUAUAAAACCCCAGGAAGGCUCACCUACCUGAAUCACUUUUGUGAGUAAAAUCAUAAUAUUUUCUGCUGCCAAACUGAUUAAAAUAAGUUACCAUGACACCAAUUCCUCAUUCCUGAAGAAGAUACGAGAUGACCAGCUGCAACUAAGCAAAUACUUUGCUCGCGUUCAGCCCAUAGGGUCUGAAUGCUGUUUUCCAGCUCCAGUCCAAACGAUUUGCACACCUGUUGAAGAGAAAGUAAAAUAUGACAGUGGUACAAACUCCGGGGGAUUAAAGCGAUUUUCACUGAGCUCUUAAAGCUGAGGAGGAGAAGGCACUCAGGGAAUGCUCCCCUCUUGGUGUUCUCUGUGUUCUCAUGGUGUGCAGUGUCAUAUACAUCCAGUCUCUGAUUUGCUGUACUUCCCAGGCUGAACAUAUGCUGCAGAAUACCUUUGAUGUUGCCACAAUUGUGCGUGUGAUCUUCAAUCACGGAUGUCAUCAAAUUUUAUUAAACUUAAUAUAGAUAAAACC